rnacentral:lncRNA from 1 species
UGCUCUCUGCAAAGAGAAAAGCCAUGUGUCUUUGAAUGUCUAGGGACAAGAGAUGUUACUUUUACAGUCAGGCAUCCUGGAUUGUAUUUUUAUUUGCUAAAUCUGGCAACUUACCUAGGUGAGCUUAUCAAACAUGGAAAACUGAUAGUGGAAAACGUUCCUUUGAAGAGUUGACAUUUUAAUAUUCCCAGAACUAGUAUGGUUUUGAGUGACUUUUCAUAUUAAGGAUUUCUAUUUUUAAGUGUGGUCUGAGUGUGGUUGGUAUGAUUUUGGUGUUUUUAAAAUUGCUAAGUAUUAUGUCUGAUCAUGUGGUCGAUUUUGGAGUAUGUGCAAUGAGAAUAAUGGACAUUCUGUUCUUGGAUGGAGACCUCUGCAGAUACGUACUAGGUCC